rnacentral:rRNA from 1 species
UACGGAGGACCCGAGCGUUAUCCGGAUUCAUUGGGUUUAAAGGGUGCGUAGGCGGCCCGGUAAGUCAGCGGUGAAAGGCUCCUGCUCCACAGGAGAGCUGCCGUUGAUACUGCUGGGCUAGAAUCUUAGCGAGGCGGGCGGAAUGCGCGGUGUAGCGGUGAAAUGCAUAGAUAUCGCGCAGAACGCCGAUUGGGGAGCCAGCUCGCCAGCUGAGUAUUGACGCUGAGGCACGAAAGCGUGGGGAUCGAACAGGAUUAGAUACCCUGGUAGUCCACGCCGUAAACGAUGAUGGCUCGCUCUUGGCCCGCAAGGGUCAGGGGCUUAGCGAAAGCGUUAAGCCAUCCACCUGGGGAGUACGCCGGCAACGGUGAA